GUCUCCGAAUGCCUCUAGAUUAGAGUUUGAUCAUGGCUCAGACUUGAACGCUGGCGGCAGGCCUAACACAUGCAAGUCGAGCGGAUGACGGGAGCUUGCUCCUUGAUUCAGCGGCGGACGGGUGAGUAAUGCCUAGGAAUCUGCCUGGUAGUGGGGGACAACGUUUCGAAAUGGAACGCUAAUACCGCAUACGUCCUACGGGAGAAAGCAGGGGACCUUCGGGCCUUGCGCUAUCAGAUGAGCCUAGGUCGGAUUAGCUAGUUGGUGAGGUAAUGGCUCACCAAGGCGACGAUCCGUAACUGGUCUGAGAGGAUGAUCAGUCACACUGGAACUGAGACACGGUCCAGACUCCUACGGGAGGCAGCAGUGGGGAAUAUUGGACAAUGGGCGAAAGCCUGAUCCAGCCAUGCCGCGUGUGUGAAGAAG
rnacentral:rRNA from 1 species